AUCAGCGGUAUUUUUGCCACAGAGUUUUUCUCCUGGAUCAGUGGACUCCCUCCACUCUUUCAGCUAAGGUAUGGUGCAGAUUUGGCUUCAUAUGUGGUACCCAGAAACCUUUCGUACCAAGAACUGCCAACAACUGGACCAAGAGGACUUUCACCUGACUUUCAACUAGAUCUGGACCAGGACCUUUCCCCUUUUUGGAGCUGAAUAAGGAGCAGGUUCCCCAUCACAACUCCUCCUCCAGGCUCUCCCCACCAGCACAGCCUCGCAGGGGGUGGAUACACCAGAGCCAGAAGGCAGCUGAAAAGUGGGGAGAGCUUCACCACUGCCAACCUCAUCUCAUGUGCAUGGUAUUUGCAAGCAAGCAGGCCCCUGUCACCUCCUAGGCUAUUCCUCCUGCUGUUGAUCCAGGUAACAUCUCUACAACCACUGUAGGAUUUCCUUGGAGAGAUAGAAAGUCUUUGGGACCUGUCGCUUUCUUGCCAAGGAGCUGAGCAAUCCUGGCUCAGCUGUGAACCUGCACCGCUCCGUGUGGUGCUGUCAACACUUCUAACUAGGUGAUAAACCAGGGCUGUAGCAGAGUAGGCAGGUUUGCAAGACAGUCUCACCAGCCACGCAGCACCACGGGACGAGCAGCCAGCACAGCCCCGCAAAUCGAAGCAGCACAAGCACACUUCUCUGUAUGUUAGCAGCUGUGCAAGGGAGCAAGCCAUCCUCUGAUGAGGGUGAUGGCUGAUGCAAGGGAGAAGAAGCUGUCUGCUCCUGUGAGAUCUUCCUGUCUUGCAAACUGCAGCCAAUUCCUUGCUGGAUUUUGUUCUGGUUUAUGGGCUAUUUGAGCCAGGUAGGUGUUAGGCAGGAGUUAACAGGGAGAGCUGGGAGUCAGGGAUCUAUGUCCAGCUCUUCUCUCCAAGCUCUGCUUUGCCCAAGUAGUGGCAGGUGCUUAACUGCCAAAUCGGAGAGGCAAAAGAAAGGCUUUCAUUUAAUUCCAGAGGGAUGCAAGAGCGUAGCACCAGUACCUUUGUUCUGCAGUGUCCAGCAGCCCCUGCCGUGGCCCAGCUUUGCGAAUGGCUGAGCAGUCAGAAAAGGGGGUUUAGGCAAAUAGAAAUAAUCCAGCUCUUUUAUUUUUAAUUUGUAAAUCUCAUUUGAAGUUGAACCCUGUUAUUCCUGAGGGCCUUAUUGUGGAUGUUUGUAGCCCUCUGCAGUGAUGCUUUAUACAUGCUGUUUCGUUUUGUCAUAACUGGGUCAAUUUCUUUUCGUUUCUAGUGUGGAGCCCUUGGUUUUCUCUGUGGAAGCCUGGAGACUGCUGUGACACAGCCAGCUGGAUUAUAAUCUUUUGGGAAAGAGUACAGAGGAAAUUUGGGGUUUUCUUGCUUGUUUUCCGCUUUCCAGCGGGGCUGCUCCCUGGUGCCUGGCUGGGCUGGCUCCUUGCUUCAAUGUCCCUAUGGGACCAUGAACAGCCAACCUGGUGUUCCAGCUCCCAGCAAAGCCGUGUCGUGGUGGUACUUUGGGUGUCCAGGGAAGAAUCCCUCACAAAGCUGCCCUGGCCAUACUCUCAGACAGCUGAAUAGCCCUAUCCCCUGUCUUUUGCCCCAUUUUGAAGCCCCUGUUCCUCUUGGUGGUGGCUAGGUGUCCUGUACCGCAAUUCAUUUUUGUCUGCUUCUUGCUGUCCCUGCUUUAAAACCUUCUAGGGAUUUGCUCCAGACCAAACGUGUCCUUUCUCUCCCUUUGCCCUUCAUCCUGUAAUUGGAUUCAUUUCUUCCAUCCAGCCCACCCCAGGCUUCUCCCCAUCCCUUUACAUAACGAUGCUGGCUCUGGGCUGUGCUGCUUUGUUCUUGACCUGCAGCCACUGAAACCAGUGGAGGGGUUUGCACUGAUUCCUAUUGCACGUUGAAUCCCAUGUCAAUACAACAACCCUUUUCUUUUGCAGUUCCUGCUCCCUCCCCAUUUGCUGCCUCUUUUUCCUCUCCACAUACAAUGUGUGCUUCCUCCAGCCUCUGCAUUGCUCGUGCAGCAGUUGCAUCUCUGCACGAACCCUCUGAGCACGUGGUCCUGCCCAGGAGCUCCUACACCCCGCAUGGCACAAGAGAAAAGGUAAAUGCAACAGCCCCACGCAGAAUGAAUUGGUACCUUGAAAGCCUGAAAGGAGAUAAAGCAGCAGCAAACUCUUCUCCCCUGUUGCAGAUAAACUGCUAUUAACUGCUGAGGGUUUCUGGAAUGAGAAGGGCGACUCUCCAUUGAAAGCACUGAUAAAUCUUGGACAUCCAGCAUAAUCCAGUCCACUGUAUCAGGAAAUCUCUUGGGAGCUGGCAGCAUUGAGCACAGCAAUGCCUUUUCAUGCUACAGUUCUCCCAUGGACAGAUAAUCUCCAUGGACAACAACUGCAAAUGCUGGUGGUUGGAUCCUGACUGCUCUUACCUCCCCUUUCCUUCUCAGCAAAACAGCCGCUGCCUUCUGCAGCGAGACGGGGCUUACCUGCAAACUUCAUCUGCAGCGGUGACCACAGGACUGAAUUCUGCAACCCAUGUGUGAGCAAGAAUAUCAUACAUCAUCCUCCUGCUGAUUUGACAGUGCAAGCGGCCCUGCAAAGCAGCGAUUUAACGCACUUCUUGGUGCCUUAGUGUUUCGUCUUGCUAUGCUUAACCUGAUAGAUUGUUGUUUGAUAUGGGAACAGUAGGGGGGGUAAAAGGAGGUAAUAAGAAAAUAAAAGGUCAGUGGGUGCCUGGUGUGUGUAAAGGCUAAAUUGCUCUUUCAUCAAAUCUAAUAAAUAUUCCCUGUGA